rnacentral:rRNA from 1 species
AUACGUAGGGUGCGAGCGUUGUCCGGAAUUACUGGGCGUAAAGAGCUCGUAGGUGGUUUGUCGCGUCGUCUGUGAAAUUCCGGGGCUUAACUCCGGGCGUGCAGGCGAUACGGGCAUAACUUAAGUACUGUAGGGGAGACUGGAAUUCCUGGUGUAGCGGUGAACUGCGCAGAUAUCAGGAGGAACACCGGUGGCGAAGGCGGGUCUCUGGGCAGUAACUGACGCUGAGGAGCGAAAGCAUGGGUAGCGAACAGGAUUAGAUACCCUGGUAGUCCAUGCCGUAAACGGUGGGCGCUAGGUGUAGGGGUCUUCCACGACUUCUGUGCCGUAGCUAACGCAUUAAGCGCCCCGCCUGGGGAGUACGGCCGCAAGGCUAAAACUCAAAUGAAUUGACGGGG